rnacentral:rRNA from 1 species
AGACAUACAGGUCGAGCAAGGAUGAAAAUCGGACUUAGUGAUCCGGUGGUUCUGCGUGGAAGGGCCAUCGCUCAACGGAUAAAAGCUACCCUGGGGAUAACAGGCUUAUCUCCCCCAAGAGUCCACAUCGACGGGGAGGUUUGGAACCUCGAUGUCGGCUCAUCACAUCCUGGGGCUGUAGUAGGUCCCAAGGGUUGGGCUGUUCGCCCAUUAAAGUGGUACGCGAGCUGGGUUCAGAACGUCGUGAGACAGUUCGGUCCCUAUCCGUCGCAGGCGUAGGAAAUUUGAGAAGACCUGUCCUUAGUACGAGAGGACCGGGAUGGACGUACCUCUGGUGUACCAGUUGUUCUGCCAAGGGCAUGGCUGGGUAGCUAUGUACGGAAUGGAUAAGCGCUGAAAGCAUCUAAGCGCGAAGCCAACUUCAAGAUAAGAUUUCCCACCG